rnacentral:tRNA from 1 species
GCCCCGGUAGCUCAGCCUGGAUAGAGCAGCCGCCUCCUAAGCGGAAGGUCGCGGGUUCGAAUCCCGCCCGGGGCA